UCGCAAGAGGCCUCGUUUCUACCAGGAAGCUCGUCUUCGUGCAUAGCGUUCGCCGCCAGCGUUUCCAGAUUCAAAUAUUGCC
rnacentral:lncRNA from 1 species